rnacentral:rRNA from 1 species
GACGAACCGUGCGAACGUUAUUCGGAAUCACUGGGCUUAAAGCGCGUGUAGGCGGGACGGCACGUCUGUCGCUGAAAUCCCCCGGCUUAACCGGGGAACUGGCGUAGAUACGACCGUCCUUGAGGGGCGUGAGGGGGAUCUGGAACUUCCGGUGGAGCGGUGAAAUGCGUUGAGAUCGGAAGGAACGCCCGUGGCGAAAGCGAGGUCCUGGACGCCUACUGACGCUGAGACGCGAAAGCCAGGGGGAGCGAACGGG